UACGAGGUCUCAAGCGUUGUUCGGAUUCAUUGGGCGUAAAGGGUGCGUAGGCGGUGAAGUAAGUUGGAUGUGAAAUCCUGGGGCUUAACCCCAGAACUGCAUUCAAUACUGCUUUGCUAGAGUACUGGAGAGGAGAUUGGAAUUCACGGUGUAGCAGUGAAAUGCGUAGAUAUCGUGAGGAAGACCAGUGGCGAGGGCGAAUCUCUGGACAGUAACUGACGCUGAGGCACGAAGGCUAGGGGAGCAAACGGG
rnacentral:rRNA from 1 species